CGUGGGUAACCUACCCCAGAAUCUGGGAUAACCUCGCGAAAGCGUUGCUAAUACCGGAUAUUGUCCUAAUGGUUGUGACCUUUGGGAUGAAAGGCAACCUCUUCAUGAAAGUUGUCGUUCAGGGAUGGGCCCGCGUACCAUUAGCUUGUUGGUGGGGUAACGGCUCACCAAGGCUACGAUGGUUAGCUGAUCUGAGAGGAUGAUCAGCCACACUGGAACUGAAACACGGUCCAG
rnacentral:rRNA from 1 species